AGAGUUUGAUCCUGGCUCAGAUUAACGCUGCGGCAUGCCUUACACAUGCAAGUCGAACGGCAGCAUGAUCUAGCUUGCUAGAUUGAUGCGAGUGCGAACGGGUGAGUAAUACAUCGGAACGUGCCCUGUAGUGGGGGAUAACUAGUCGAAAGAUUAGCUAAUACCGCAUACGACCUGAGGGUGAAAGUGGGGGACCGCAAGGCCUCAUGCUAUAGGAGCGGCCGAUGUCUGAUUAGCUAGUUGGUGGGGUAAAGGCCCACCAAGGCGACGAUCAGUAGCUGGUCUGAGAGGACGAUCAGCCACACUGGGACUGAGACACGGCCCAGACUCCUACGGGAGGCAGCAGUGGGGAAUUUUGGACAAUGGGCGAAAGCCUGAUCCAGCAAUGCCGCGUGUGUGAAGAAGGCCUUCGGGUUGUAAAGCACUUUUGUCCGGAAAGAAAUGGCUCUGGUUAAUACCUGGGGUCGAUGACGGUUCCGGAAGAAUAAGGACCGGCUAACUACGUGCCAGCAGCCGCGGUAAUACGUAGGGUCCAAGCGUUAAUCGGAAUUACUGGGCGUAAAGCGUGCGCAGGCGGUUGUGCAAGACCGAUGUGAAAUCCCCGAGCUUAACUUGGGAAUUGCAUUGGUGACUGCACGGCUAGAGUGUGUCAGAGGGGGGUAGAAUUCCACGUGUAGCAGUGAAAUGCGUAGAGAUGUGGAGGAAUACCGAUGGCGAAGGCAGCCCCUGGGAUAACACUGACGCUCAUGCACGAAAGCGUGGGGAGCAAACAGGAUUAGAUACCCUGGUAGUCCACGCCCUAAACGAUGUCAACUAGUUGUUGGGGAUUCAUUUCCUUAGUAACGUAGCUAACGCGUGAAGUUUGACCGCCUGGGGAGUACCGUCGCAAGAUUAAAACUCAAAGGAAUUGACCGGGACCCGCACAAGCCGGUGGAUGAUGUGGAUUAAUUCGAUGCAACGCGAAAAACCUUACCUACCCUUGACAUCCCACUUACGAACCGCAACGAGCGCAACCCUUGUCUCUAGUUGCUACGAAAGGGCACUCUAGAGAGACUGCCGGUGACAAACCGGAGGAAGGUGGGGAUGACGUCAAGGCCUCAUGGCCCUUAUGGGUAGGGCUUCACACGUCAUACAAUGGUGCAUACAGAGGGUUGCCAAGCCGCGAGGUGGAGCUAAUCCCAGAAAAUGCAUCGUAGUCCGGAUCGUAGUCUGCAACUCGACUACGUGAAGCUGGAAUCGCUAGUAAUCGCGGAUCAGCAUGCCGCGGUGAAUACGUUCCCGGGUCUUGUACACACCGCCCGUCACACCAUGGGAGUGGGCUUUACCAGAAGUAGUUAGCCUAACCGCAAGGAGGGCGAUUACCACGGUAGGGUUCAUGACUGGGGUGAAGUCGUAACAAGGUAACC
rnacentral:rRNA from 1 species